GCUUCUAUAGCUCAGUGGUAGAGCACUAACCAGGGGUCAGAGUAAACCAGGGGUCGUGAGUUUAAUCCUCACUGGAGACA
rfam:Ciona savignyi cont_6357, whole genome shotgun sequence.